rnacentral:rRNA from 1 species
UACGUAGGGUGCAAGCGUUUAAUCGGAAUUACUGGGCGUAAAGCGUGCGCAGGCGGUUAUGUAAGACAGUUGUGAAAUCCCCGGGCUCAACCCUGGGAACUGCAUCUGUGACUGCAUAGCUAGAGUACGGUAGAGGGGGAUGGAAUUCCGCGUGUAGCAGUGAAAUGCGUAGAUAUGCGGGAGGAACACCGAUGGCGAAGGCAAUCCCCUGGACCUGUACUGACGCUCAUGCACGAAAGCGUGGGGAGCAAACAGG